UGGGUUCGCGGUAUCUAGAAGUGUCCCGUGCUUCCCUCGGCCACGUUCCAAAAAAAAAGGCUUUUCUCCACUUCUCCACGAUCGUCUUCAAUACAGCCUAUCUGCACUUCCAUGUCUGGUCUCCCUCUGAGAAUUUCUCCCCUGCCAAGAUCCUUCCGCCGCCACCGCAUCGAAGUGCCGCUGGAGGAGGCCGACAAUGGCGAGGCCGCGCAGAAGAGUAGUUGGAGAUUGAGAGGUGCGUCAGCUGCGCAAGUGGAGGCGACUGGGGAUUUCCUAGGAUUCAGGCACAUGAGGGUAACGGCGUUGCUAUGGUGGGUUAAUAGUGGAGGAGGCUGACGCGACGUGUUACCAGAGAGCUGCAGCGCGAAAAUAGAUUGGAGCCGGCCAGAAUCGCGGCGACGGCGGCAGCAUCGGCGGAGGAGGCCGACCUGGUGCAUGUUGCCCAGUAGCUGGAUGGGAUGAGUCCAUUCGCUCAGAGCUCUCUUCGCCUCCUCUUCAGUUCAUCCGUCGGUAAGGAUCCUGUAAAAUCGGGUGCGUCUGGUGAUUCGAGCAACGGCGACCAUAAGCAACAAGAAGCAGCAGCGGCGGAGACCAGACAAGCGCGAGGAGCGGCGGUGGGGAGCAUACAAGCGAGAGGAGCGGCAGCGGCGACUCGACAAGCCGGGGGAACGGCGGUGACCAGGCAGAGGCAGGAGAAAAAAUAGGAAAGGAUGGAGAGGUUGGGUUCCGUGGACGCUAGCCACAGUUCUUCUGUGAGCUCUGCGUCCGCAGGGCAGCGCCGGCGUGCCUUAGCCGCGACCUCCGACCUUGAGGAAGAGGAGAUCUCAGUGGCGCUGGCCCCCGUCGGCAGAGGAUGGAGGAGGUGAAGUGGGGACAUAAGAGCCAGACCAACUUCCUCCGCCGAUGCGUAGGUACUCUUACCUGGUUGUGUUGUCAGCAUCCUUCGCUCUCUCUCUCCCGCGUCAUGUUCUUCUCCUCUGUCUCUUUGCAGAAAGGUGGGCGUCCACGAGGUGCUCGAGGUGGCAUACUGAAGAUGGGAACGUGGACAGGUUUCUCCGCUGCCGCGACUCUGCAGUAGACGUGGACGAGCAAGGUUGCAUCGACCUCCUUGGACAGUGCGCAGCACCUCUCCUGCCAGUGCCUCCCUGCCUCUGCCGCGGCCUCUCCCCUGACAGUGCGCUGCUACACCUGCUUCGGGCCUCCUCUGAGAACCAUGAUUGUGAUGCUGGAGAGGCACUUGGAUGAUCAGCGCGGCACGCUGAAGAAAGCGUUGGGCCCCAAUCCUGCCGUAGUCACCCUGUCCAAUGAGAACUCCCUACUGAAGCUCACUAAUCAAGUGACAGUGGAGGUUUCCACAUUGGAGCUGGAGAUCAAGCACCUAGAAGGGUACCUACUGCUACUAUAUAUAUUAUAGAAAAGCAGAGCAAGUACCCACACUGUCAUCUUCAGGCAUUCACCAGGAUCCUUCGACGCCGCAAAAGCCAUUAGUGAGCUCACGGUCCGUGCUGGUAAAAAAAAAACACGCUAGGCGAAAGCGACUGAAGAAGUGGUUAUGCAAUGCUGCAUUACAUAUGCCCUCCCCUUAUAAAGAGUGGAGCAGUGAUUCAAUGAUCUGAGUGGCUCGAGCUCUUACCAUCAGGUGCACGAGCCAUCUCAAUGCUUUUAUCUUUUCUUCCCUUGCAUGAUUGCUGGCUUAUUUUGAUUUGCGAUCAAUAGUGGAAGAUCUGUUUCUGAGUAUUCGUGCAUGUGAUAAUAUAUGGUAUAUGUU